rnacentral:rRNA from 1 species
GAAAAUUUUAUAUAAAUUUAUUCUAUUAUUAGUAAGUAAAAAAUUGGAUUUAGUUUAAGAAUAAAAUAUUUAUAUUUAAUUGGGAGGAUUGUUAAAUUAUAUAAACUUUGGAUUUAGAAUUACAUAAAUGAAUGGAAUGAAUUAAUUUAAGAAGAAGAAUCAAUAAAUUAAAAAAGAAAUAAUUACCUUAGGGAUAACAACGUAAUAUUUUUAGAUAGAUCAUGUAAAUUAAAAUGAUUGC